rnacentral:rRNA from 1 species
AAUGAACGCUGGCGGCGUGCCUAACACAUGCAAGUCGGAUGUGCCGCAAGGUGCAUGGCAGACGGGUGAGUAACGCGUAGGGAAUCUACCUCUUUGUGGGGAAUAACGCUCCGAAAGGAGUGGUAAUACCGCAUGAGACCGAUGACUGGGAUGUUGUCGGUGAAACCUGGGGACCGCAAGGCCUGGGGCAAGGAGAGGAUCCUGCGUCUGAUUAGCUAGUUGGCGGGGUAAUGGCCCACCAAGGCGACGAUCAGUAGCCGGCCUGAGAGGAUGAUCAGCCACACUGGAACUGAGACACGGUCCAGACUCCUACGGGAGGCAGCAGUGGGGAAUAUUGGACAAUGGGCGCAAGCCUGAUCCAGCCAUACCGCGUGGGUGAAGAAGGCCUUCGGGUUGUAAAGCCCUUUUGUUGGGAAAGAAAUCCAGCCGGCCAAUACCUGGUUGGGAUGACGGUACCCAAAGAAUAAGCACCGGCUAACUUCGUGCCAGCCGCCGCGGUAA